rnacentral:rRNA from 1 species
CCCUUAGAUGUUCGGGGCCGCACGCGCGCUACACUGAAGGAAUCAGCACGUCUUUCUCCUUGUCCGAAAGGACUGGGUAACCCGCUGAACCUCCUUCGUGCUAGGGAUUGGGGCUUGUAAUUCUUCCCCAUGAACGAGGAAUUCCCAGUAAGCGCGAGUCAUAAGCUCGCGUUGAUUACGCCCCUGCCCUUUGUACACACCGCCCGUCGCUACUACCGAUUGGAUGGUUUAGUGAGAUCCUCGGAUUGGUCCCGGAGCGGCCUCUGGUCGUGCCGGAGUGCCGAAAAGAAUGUCGAACUUGAUCAUCUAGAGGAAGUAAAAGUCGUAACA